rnacentral:rRNA from 1 species
GUCUAUGGCCAUACCACCCUGAACACACCUGAUCUCGGAAGCUAGGCAAGGUCGGGCCUGAUUAGUACUUGGAUGGAAGACCACCUAGGAAUACUGGGUACUGCUGGCU